rnacentral:rRNA from 1 species
GACGAACGCUGGCGGCGUGCCUAAUACAUGCAAGUCGAGCGGACAGAAGGGAGCUUGCUCCCGGAAGUCAGCGGCGGACGGGUGAGUAACACGUGGGCAACCUGCCCUGCAGAUUGGGAUAACUCCGGGAAACCGGGGCUAAUACCGAAUAACAUUGGAAACCUCAUGGUUUCCUUUUAAAAGGCGGCUUCGGCUGUCACUGCAGGAUGGGCCCGCGGCGCAUUAGCUAGUUGGUGAGGUAACGGCUCACCAAGGCGACGAUGCGUAGCCGACCUGAGAGGGUGAUCGGCCACACUGGGACUGAGACACGGCCCAGACUCCUACGGGAGGCAGCAGUAGGGAAUCUUCCGCAAUGGACGAAAGUCUGACGGAGCAACGCCGCGUGAGUGAAGAAGGUUUUCGGAUCGUAAAACUCUGUUGUCAGGGAAGAACAAGUACGGUAGUAACUGCCCGUACCUUGACGGUACCUGGCCAGAAAGCCACGGCUAACUACGUGCCAGCAGCCGCGGUAAAAC